GACGAACGCUGGCGGCGUGCUUAACACAUGCAAGUCGAACGCUGAAGCUCAGCUUUUGUUGGGUGGAUGAGUGGCGAACGGGUGAGUAACACGUGAGUAACCUGCCUCCUUCUUUGGGAUAACGCCCGGAAACGGGUGCUAAUACUGGAUAUUCACUGGUCUUCGCAUGGGGGUUGGUGGAAAGGGUUUUUCUGGUGGGGGAUGGGCUCGCGGCCUAUCAGCUUGUUGGUGGGGUGAUGGCCUACCAAGGCCUUGACGGGUAGCCGGCCUGAGAGGGUGACCGGUCACAUUGGGACUGAGAUACGGCCCAGACUCCUACGGGAGGCAGCAGUGGAGAAUAUUGCACAAUGGGCGCAAGCCUGAUGCAGCGACGCCGCGUGAGGGAUGGAGGCCUUCGGGUUGUGAACCUCUUUCGCUCAUGGUCAAGCCGCAACAAUGGUUGUGGUGAGGGUAGUGGGUAAAGAAGCGCCGGCUAACUACGUG
rnacentral:rRNA from 1 species